ACACAGAUCUACACCCGAUCCACAGUCAAAGAGACAGACCUGGGCCUAGCAUGGGCUUGGAAACAUCAAACUCCACCCUCACUGACACACUUCCUCCAACAAGCAGGCACUUCUUCCAACAGGCCCAUACUUCCUGAUGACUAAGCAGAUGACUAAGCAUUCAGGCAUAUGAGCUUAUGGGGCCAUUUCUAUUGAAGUCACCACAACUUGGAGAAGAGUAGUUAAAAGCUGAAGGCAGCCAGGGGCUAUGUCAUGGGUAUCCGGUGGCCACUUCGCAGAGCUGUCCGUGGGAAACAGAAACCUCCAGCCAGCCUUAUGGAAUGGAACUCUCCCGCCUUCUGCCACUACGGGCUCCCGUGAUCAUCAGAGUGGGAAAGCCUCAUCCUGAAGCACCAGGCAGAGCCAUCCUCAGUCCUGAUUCUCAGAUAGCUGCAGAUCUCGGUUUGCAUACAGUUCCUCACAGAAUCCGGGGUGUCUCCAGGCCGCUGAAGAUGAUAACAAGGGGUUGUGCAUUUGUCCGUGUCUCACACAGCCAACAGGGUGUCACCAAAUCUCCUCGUGACCAACCCCACGGGCAACCCCAGGAACCAAUGCAAUCACAAAGCCAGUGGUGAUGGCCACCAGAAACGUUGUCGAGUGUCCUUUGUCUCUGACUCAGGUCUUUUGGCAUCAUCAGUGAGGCUGAGACAGACUGGCUUGUUAGCUCACGAAAGGAUAAAAUUCAAAACCCUGUAAAUAAAGCUCUUGGCCCUACUGAUAACAGACUCUGCUAGUUAAGUUACCCAUUGGGAUUGAAACCCAGCAUUGACCAAGCAGGUUUCUCCUCAGGUGAGUGCACCAAUGGCUCUGGCCCAAAAAUGUAUUAGACACACAGAAAUACAAAAGAGACCCGUUAGCCGUUUAGCCUGUUCCCUGCUAAGAUGAGAAACUGAAAAGGUAACU
rnacentral:sRNA from 1 species